ACUCCCCAACAACCGGACUCCCAAGGCUCGGCAGCUAACAUGAUGACCCUCCAAGAGCCUGAUGGUGUUGUAGAUAAAAUUCUUUAAUCAACAAAGAGCCUCUGACACAUGGACAUCAACUGAAUCUAAGAAGCCGAGGAGCGGAAAAAGUGAGGUCAAUCUGGUUCGGCCGGCGGCCAUUAAAGGACUGGCAGAAAGCAGCAGGUGACAGCCGCUGCUCCCUUGCAGCAUCUGCACAAGUAUCCAUCGACCCGUGUACCACUGACACCAGAUGAGCCCCUCACUCUGGACGAGGGCAUCACCACACCCCUCCCUCCCUCCUCCCCUGCCCGGGCCAGCCACCUUGGGAGCACAUCCUUCAGUGGGGUAGUUAUUGCCAAAAGGACGGUUCUAUUUCUCCAUAGUUAAGUAUACUUUGGGAGUGGGGGUAACGAGGUGCCCUCUGGCCGAGUGCAUUACUUGACAGCAAAUGGCAACUGCUGAGCCAUGGGCCCCAGGUCUCUUUGGCACAAGAUACAGUUAGGGCACGAGCGAGACCUUGUCAGGACGCACGAGGUUCUCAUUCAGUAGGAUCAUAAAGUCAGAAUUGUUUGUGUGGACAUGAUCCUCAGUUCUGAUGGUGUAACCUAAUUUUUGUCUAUAUGACAUGCAGCACACAAUUUCAUAAUUUGGUUGUAUCACAAGAAUUCCAUUACAAUACAUUUAUCACAAUACAUGUAGCUUUAAAGUGGAUUCAUCCUUAAUGAUAUGGAAUCACCUGUGCUUUAAUAUUGUGGGGUGAAGUGUACUAAUCGAUAAUAUACAUAUCUGGAGAAAGGCACCAGUCAGGUUGAGAGACACAAUGUCCACUGAUACUGCCAAGACAACCUCGUACGGACAGAUUAGUUGGCUGGGGUCAAGUUACCACAGAAUGUAUACCAGAAACUCUAUACUAAUUUGAGUCCUGAUAUUGAGAGGUUAUAAUUAACAAUUUAAAAAGAUCUACUGUACACAGAAUGAUAUGUACCUAUCAUUCCUGUAUCAUCACCAUUGCCUGUCACAAUGCAAUAUAAAUUUCUUAUUUCAUACAAUGUGUGCUCUUGAAGGACACACCCCUUUCAACAUUCUUAUAUCAUGCAGGUACCAAAGCCAGCCUCACUGGCCUCCAAACAGGUAACAAAAGGAACACACAUGCACAAUACUUGGUAUUUUCCAGGUACAAACACUGCAGGAAUAAUUAAGGGCCUUUGGUGAAAAAGGGACAUUCAAAAGGUCCAUACUUUUAAUCACUCAACUGACUAAAACUAGAUCUUCGUAAAAACACAUCACAAGUGAAUAAAAUUAAUUCUCCAUUUGCCACUGGCUUUCAUAAUACCAGCAGAGCCUUGAACAUUCUUCAAGAGCAUCCCUAUAAACUUUCAAGUUUUGAUUUUGUCUGCAGGUGAUGCCGGUAGUGGUUUCUGCGUUUAGAGACCGCCGUCUGCUGACCACUGACUGGCUAACACUACUACAGAUGGGAUGCCCUUCACCUUCACAUUCUAUCAC